rnacentral:rRNA from 1 species
UGGGGAAUAUUGGACAAUGGGCGAAAGCCUGAUCCAGCCAUGCCGCGUGAGUGAUGAAGGCCUUAGGGUUGUAAAGCUCUUUCAGUGGGGAAGAUAAUGACGGUACCCACAGAAGAAGCCCCGGCUAACUUCGUGCCAGCAGCCGCGGUAAUACGAAGGGGGCUAGCGUUGUUCGGAUUUACUGGGCGUAAAGCGCACGUAGGCGGAUCGUUAAGUCAGGGGUGAAAUCCUGGAGCUCAACUCCAGAACUGCCUUUGAUACUGGCGAUCUCGAGUCCGGAAGAGGUGAGUGGAACUCCUAGUGUAGAGGUGGAAUUCGUAGAUAUUAGGAAGAACACCAGUGGCGAAGGCGGCUCACUGGUCCGGUACUGACGCUGAGGUGCGAAAGCGUGGGGAGCAAACAGGGUUAGAUACCCUGGUAGUCCACGCCGUAAACUAUGAGAGCUAGCCGUUGGAGGGUUUACCCUUCAGUGGCGCAGCUAACGCANUAAGCUCUCCGCC